rnacentral:rRNA from 3 species
UGAGGCGGCCACAGCCCGGAGGCUCCACCCCUUCCCAUUCCGAACAGGGCAGUUAAGCUCCGGCGCGCCGAUGGUACUGCGAAAGCGGGAGAGUAGGUCGCCGCCGUAU